GCGACCGUACUCCCCAGGCGGUGAACUUAAUGCGUUAGCUGCGUCACCGAAGUCUAAACCCCGACGACUAGUUCACAUCGUUUACGGCGUGGACUACCAGGGUAUCUAAUCCUGUUUGCUCCCCACGCUUUCGCGCCUCAGCGUCAGUACCGCUCCAGAUAGUCGCCUUCGCCACUGGUGUUCUACCCAAUAUCUACGAAUUUCACCUCUACACUGGGUAUUCCACUAUCCUCUCGCGGACUCUAGACUGUCAGUAUCAAAGGCAGUUCCGAGGUUGAGCCCCGGGAUUUCACCCCUGACUGGACAGUCCGCCUACACGCCCUUUACGCCCAGUAAUUCCGAACAACGCUUGCUCCCUUCGUAUUACCGCGGCUGCUGGCACGAAGUUAGCCGGAGCUUCUUCUAUAGUUACCGUCAUCAUCUUCACUAUUGAAAGAGCUUUACAACCCUAAGGCNUUCUUCACUCACGCGGCAUGGCUGCGUCAGAGUUCCCUC
rnacentral:rRNA from 1 species